rnacentral:rRNA from 1 species
UACGUAGGGAGCAAGCGUUGUCCGGAAUCAUUGGGCGUAAAGCGCGCGUAGGCGGCCCUGUAAGUCCGUUGUGAAAGCAAAGGCUCAACCUUUGAAAGCCGAUGGAUACUGCAGGGCUGGAGUCCGGAAGAGGCGAGUGGAAUUCCUGGUGUAGCGGUGGAAUGCGCAGAUAUCAGGAGGAACACCAAUAGUGAAGGCAGCUCGCUGGGACGGUACUGACGCUGAGGCGCGAAAGCGUGGGGAGCGAACAGG